rnacentral:SRP_RNA from 1 species
GGUCGGUGGCCCGGCAAUGGAGUCGUCGCGAACUCCGCCAGGUCCGGGAGGAAGCAACGGUAGCGCCUGCUUCAUGUGUCGGGUCCCGGCCAACCCAU